AUUGAACGCUGGCGGCAGGCCUAACACAUGCAAGUCGAGCGAGCCGCGGAGGGGUGUACUAUUUCUGAGACCCUGCCUGAUGGAGGGGUAAAACUUGUGGAAACGGUAGCAAAUACCGCAUACUCCCAGAUGGGCCGAGGGGGGUUUAGCUAGUAGGUGGGGUAAUGGCUCACCUAGGCGACGAUCCCUAGCUGGUCUGAGAGGAUGACCGGCCACACUGGAACUGAGACACGGUCCAGACUCCUACGGGAGGCAGCAGUGGGGAAUAUUGCACAAUGGGCGAAAGCCUGAUGCAGCCAUGCCGCGUGUGUGAAGAAGGCCUUCGGGUUGUAAAGCACUUUCAGCGGGGAGGCGUUACUCGCAGAAGAAGCACCGGCUAACUCCGUGCCAGCAGCCGCGGUAAUUC
rnacentral:rRNA from 1 species